rnacentral:rRNA from 1 species
AAAACCUUACCCACCUUUGACAUGUACGGAAGGAUCCAGAGAUGGAUUUGUGCUCGAAAGAGAACCGUAACACAGGUGCUGCAUGGCUGUCGUCAGCUCGUGUCGUGAGAUGUUGGGUUAAGUCCCGCAACGAGCGCAACCCUUGUCAUUAGUUGCUACAUUUAGUUGGGCACUCUAAUGAGACUGCCGGUGACAAACCGGAGGAAGGUGGGGAUGACGUCAAGUCCUCAUGGCCCUUAUAGGUGGGGCUACACACGUCAUACAAUGGCUGGUACAAAGGGUUGCCAACCCGCGAGGGGGAGCUAAUCCCAUAAAACCAGUCGUAGUCCGGAUCGCAGUCUGCAACUCGACUGCGUGAAGUCGGAAUCGCUAGUAAUCGUGGAUCAGAAUGUCACGGUGAAUACGUUCCCGGGUCUUGUACACACCGCCCGUCACACCAUGGGAGCGGGUUCUGCCAGAAGUAGUUAGCCUAACCGCAAGGAGGGCGAU